rnacentral:rRNA from 1 species
UACGUAGGGUGCGAGCGUUGUCCGGAAUUAUUGGGCGUAAAGGGCUCGUAGGCGGUUUGUCACGUCAGGAGUGAAAACUCGGGGCUCAACCCCGAGCCUGCUUCUGAUACGGGCAGACUGGAGGUAUGCAGGGGAGAACGGAAUUCCUGGUGUAGCGGUGAAAUGCGCAGAUAUCAGGAGGAACACCAAUGGCGAAGGCAGCUCGCUGGGACGUGACUGACGCUGAGACGCGAAAGCGUGGGGAGCAAACAGG